GUGCCAGAAGACUCGGUAAUACGAGAGGCCCGAGCGUUAAUCGGAAUCAUUGGGCUUAAAGGGUGCGCAGGCGGAUCGGCAGGCGUCCUGUGAAAGCCCCCGGCUCAACCGGGGAAUUGCGGGGCGAACCGCCGAUCUUGAGGCAGGUAGGGGCCAGUGGAACCAUGGGUGGAGCGGUGAAAUGCGUAGAUAUCCAUGGGAACGCCGAUGGCGAAGGCAGCUGGCUGGGCCUGUCCUGACGCUCAGGCACGAAAGCGUGGGGAGCAAACGGGAUUAGAUACCCCGGUAGUCCACGCCGUAAACGAUGUACACUAGGUCGAGGUGGCUCUCACGCCUUCUCGGCCGAAGUAAAAACGUUAAGUGCACCGCCUGGGGAGUACGGUCGCAAGGCUAAAACUCAAAUGAAUUGGCGG
rnacentral:rRNA from 1 species